CGGGAAUCCUGGCCUCCAGAAGUAUGAGGUGUCGACUGAGGAAAAAUCCACUACACUUCAAAUAGCAGAUAUUUCUUUGGACAAUUAGAAAUGCAACUCGGGAGACACAGAUCCAGGCAGAAACCCAAAAUGUGUUCUGAGGAAAACAAGGAGUUCUUCCAGUAGUUUUCUCGACUUUGCCUGAUGACUGAGGAUGAUCGGAACAGUGAAAUUCCAAGAAGUUUGAAAGGUUUUCAUUAAGGUUCAUGCUGACAUUGCUCUGCUAGACUGGGAACGACGGAACAGGCAGAGGCCACAAGAUCCCCACAUUCUUGCUGAAGAGGGUUGCUCUAGGUUGAGCAGGCAGAAGAAAGAUUUGAAAGAUGGAACAACAACUUCUAAACUGAUGGCAGAGCUGUAAAUAUCUUGGAAGCCACCUCCAGAAUUCUCAGCCUCGCACGCAGUUCUAAGAAAUGGGGGAAGUUCUUUUUAACACAGAUGCUGCCUGGCUGUCAAUCUGAAAAGACAAGGCAACAAAGUGGGAGGCUGUCAGAGAGGGAUUCCAGCCUGGCCUUGAAGAGUCAUCGCUGUGCGUGUGCAGGGCAGAAACGGUGGGUGAUCUUGUGUGGGCCUCUCCAUCUGGCACAUGGACCCUUCUGUUGCUCAGUUUACUGUGGUUUAAGAGCAGUGGCUUUCAGAGCAUCCCAUAGCAAGAAGGACAGUGUGUAUCAUGGUCCAGCACACACUUACAUAAAUAAAACCAUAUGAGUAACUGAAAUAAUUUAAUAAAC
rnacentral:lncRNA from 1 species